UAGGGAAUCUUCCACAAUGGACGCAAGUCUGAUGGAGCAACGGCCGCGUGAGUGAAGAAGGUUUUCGGACCGUAAAGCUCUGUUGUUGGUGAAGAAGGAUAGAGGUAGUAACUGGCCUUUAUUUGACGGUAAUCAACCAGAAAGUCACGGCUAACUACGUGCCAGCAGCCGCGGUAAUACGUAGGUGGCAAGCGUUGUCCGGAUUUAUUGGGCGUAAAGCGAGCGCAGGCGGAAGAAUAAGUCUGAUGUGAAAGCCCUCGGCUUAACCGAGGAAUUGCAUCGGAAACUGUUUUUCUUGAGUGCAGAAGAGGAGAGUAGAACUCCAUGUGUAGCGGUGGAAUGCGUAGAUAUAUGGAAGAAUACCAGUGGCGAAGGCGGCUCUCUGGUCUGCAACUGACGCUGAGGCUCGAAAGCAUGGGUAGCGAACAGGAUUAGAUACCCUGGUAGUCCAUG
rnacentral:rRNA from 1 species